rnacentral:rRNA from 1 species
AUUGAACGCUGGCGGCAGGCCUAACACAUGCAAGUCGAGCGGAUGACGGGAGCUUGCUCCUGGAUUUAGCGGCGGACGGGUGAGUAAUGCCUAGGAAUCUGCCUGGUAGUGGGGGACAACGUUUCGAAAGGAACGCUAAUACCGCAUACGUCCUACGGGAGAAAGCAGGGGACCUUCGGGCCUUGCGCUAUCAGAUGAGCCUAGGUCGGAUUAGCUUGUUGGUGAGGUAAUGGCUCACCAAGGCGACGAUCCGUAACUGGUCUGAGAGGAUGAUCAGUCACACUGGAACUGAGACACGGUCCAGACUCCUACGGGAGGCAGCAGUGGGGAAUAUUGGACAAUGGGCGAAAGCCUGAUUCAGCCAUGCCGCGUGUGUGAAGAAGGUCUUCGGAUUGUAAAGCACUUUAAGUUGGGAGGAAGGGUUGUAGAUUAAUACUCUGCAAUUUUGACGUUACCGACAGAAUAAGCACCGGCUAACUCUGUGCCAGCCGCCGCGGUAACAC